UAUGCACGCUGGCGGCGUGCCUAAUACAUGCAAGUCGAGCGAACGGACGAGAAGCUUGCUUUUCUGAUGUUAGCGGCGGACGGGUGAGUAACACGUGGAUAACCUACCUAUAAGACUGGGAUAACUUCGGGAAACCGGAGCUAAUACCGGAUAAUAUUUUGAACCGCAUGGUUCAAAAGUGAAAGACGGUCUUGCUGUCACUUAUAGAUGGAUCCGCGCUGCAUUAGCUAGUUGGUAAGGUAACGGCUUACCAAGGCAACGAUGCAUAGCCGACCUGAGAGGGUGAUCGGCCACACUGGAACUGAGACACGGUCCAGACUCCUACGGGAGGCAGCAGUAGGGAAUCUUCCGCAAUGGGCGAAAGCCUGACGGAGCAACGCCGCGUGAGUGAUGAAGGUCUUCGGAUCGUAAAACUCUGUUAUUAGGGAAGAACAUAUGUGUAAGUAACUGUGCACAUCUUGACGGUACCUAAUCAGAAAGCCACGGCUAACUACGUG
rnacentral:rRNA from 1 species